UACAGAGGUCUCGAGCGUUAGGCGGAAUCACUGGGCUUAAAGCGUGUGUAGGCGGACUUCUAAGUACCUUGUGAAAUCCCACGGCUCACCCGUGGAACUGCUCGGUAUACUGGUUGUCUUGAGCCUUCUAGGGGCGAGUGGAACAAAUGGUGGAGCGGUGAAAUGCGUAGAUAUCAUUUGGAACGCCAAUGGUGAAAACAACUCGCUGGGGAAGUGCUGACGCUGAGACACGAAAGCCAGGGGAGCGAACGGG
rnacentral:rRNA from 1 species